GAUGAACGCUGGCGGCGUGCCUAAUACAUGCAAGUCGAGCGAACAGACGAGGAGCUUGCUCCUCUGACGUUAGCGGCGGACGGGUGAGUAACACGUGGAUAACCUACCUAUAAGACUGGGAUAACUUCGGGAAACCGGAGCUAAUACCGGAUAAUAUAUUGAACCGCAUGGUUCAAUAGUGAAAGACGGUUUUGCUGUCACUUAUAGAUGGAUCCGCGCCGCAUUAGCUAGUUGGUAAGGUAACGGCUUACCAAGGCAACGAUGCGUAGCCGACCUGAGAGGGUGAUCGGCCACACUGGAACUGAGACACGGUCCAGACGCCUAUGGGAGGCAGCAGUAGGGAAUCUUCCGCAAUGGGGGAAAGCCUGACGGAGCAACGCCGCGUGAGUGAUGAAGGUCUUCGGAUCGUAAAACUCUGUUAUUAGGGAAGAACAAAUGUGUAAGUAACUAUGCACGUCUUGACGGUACCUAAUCAGAAAGCCACGGCUAACUACGUG
rnacentral:rRNA from 1 species